UUUUUCACCACUUGGUGUGACACAUUUCCAAUUGGGGAAUUUUUCGUGGCCAU
rnacentral:antisense_RNA from 1 species